rnacentral:lncRNA from 1 species
UGAGUUUGAGACAAUCACAGAUAUGAAGAUAUACAUUGACAAUAAGAAUGAAACUUAAAUAUGCAUUGACUAAUUCUGGAUAAUAGCUCAUUUGCACGUGUUUCCAUCCUUGAAGUUGAUUGGCUCACGCACGAGCAGCGCUUUGUUCUGAUUGGUCCACGUGUACUCUGCAUUAUGAUUGGCUGCGAAAGCCUGUGUUGGGCGCCAUUACCACUUGGAGGAGGGUUUUUGGUUGACGGACACGCUCAUAGAAAUUGCCUUUGUGCAGUGACAUUCUUAUUAACGCCAGUAUUUCUGGGAAGAGCUGGCAGUUAAAGUGUUAAAGAACUGUCGGAGUCAUUGAUAACCCCAAAGACUUCAGUGUAGUCUGGGAAAGAGCACUGGAGUUGGGCUUGUCACCUUGCAGAGUGAUUUCUACCUUCACAUGGUCUUCGCAUUGAUGCAAGGGUGCAGGCUGGCUACCUGUCAUGAGAUGGUGUACCUGUCGUGACGUGACGUGCCUGUGGUGAUGAGGUGGUAAUGUGAAGCGUCAGUGCUACCUGCUUUGGGAUACGAUCUCGAAUGUCUCCAGGAAAGGAUUAAACCGUGUGCAAGAAUCCAAG